UACGUAGGGGGCAAGCGUUGUCCGGAUUUAUUGGGCGUAAAGAGCGUGUAGGCGGCUUUACAGGUCCGUUGUGAAAACUCGAGGCUCAACCUCGAGACGCCGGUGGAAACCGUAAAGCUAGAGUCCGGAAGAGGAGAGUGGAAUUCCUGGUGUAGCGGUGAAAUGCGCAGAUAUCAGGAAGAACACCCGUGGCGAAGGCGACUCUUUGGCCUGUAACUGACGCUGAGGCGCGAAAGCGUGGGGAGCAAACAGG
rnacentral:rRNA from 1 species